GAUGAACGCUGGCGGCGUGCCUAACACAUGCAAGUCGAGCGAUCUUCUUCGGAAGAGAGCGGCGGACGGGUGAGUAACGCGUGGGUAACCUGCCCUGUACACACGGAUAACAUACCGAAAGGUAUGCUAAUACGAGAUAAUAUACUUUUAUCGCAUGGUAGAAGUAUCAAAGCUCCGGCGGUACAGGAUGGACCCGCGUCUGAUUAGCUAGUUGGUAAGGUAACGGCUUACCAAGGCGACGAUCAGUAGCCGACCUGAGAGGGUGAUCGGCCACAUUGGAACUGAGACACGGUCCAAACUCCUGCGGGAGGCAGCAGUGGGGAAUAUUGCACAAUGGGCGAAAGCCUGAUGCAGCAACGCCGCGUGAGCGAUGAAGGCCUUCGGGUCGUAAAGCUCUGUCCUCAAGGAAGAUAAUGACGGUACUUGAGGAGGAAGCCCCGGCUAACUACGUGCCAGCCGCCGCCGUAAGAC
rnacentral:rRNA from 1 species